UAUUCAUCCUUCAAUACAUGUAAAAAUACCUUCCAUGAACUUCCAAAUUAUCCUAUAAUAGAUCUUAUAUGCUCCCUUAUCUCUAGUAUUAUAGUAGAUUCAAAUAAUUAAAUCAUCUCCUUCUCAAAAAUAUAAUUCAAUUCUAUUUCUUAUACAUAACAUCUUAAAUAUUUGGAAUAUUUCUCCUAUCAAAUUCGAUAACUUUGUUAAACACCGCUUGCAAUGCUUUAGUUGCCAAAGUCUCUUUGUGAUCAUUGCCUUGUUGUUGUUGCAUAAAUAAUGUAAAUGCUUGAAAUAUUUUUAUAGUGUUUGGAUCAAAGUAUGUACCUUGUUCAUCAGUACAAAAUCCAUUUAAAGCUUUACUUGAAGAUCUACUUAAAGCUCCAUCCAGAGCCCCAUCAAAAAUUCGAAAUUCAACCUUUUUGUCUUUAUACAUCAUCA
rnacentral:lncRNA from 1 species